GGCCUCUCUCCCAUUAGGCUUUUGGGAAUGGGUUGGUUUUUUUGUUUUUCUUCUCAGUGGGGGCUAAAGGUCAGAAUCAACCUUGAGAAUAAUUGACAGAACCACCAAGCACUGGUAGCCUUGUUUUCUUGCCUCAAACAUAA